UACGUAGGGGGCAAGCGUUGUCCGGAUUCAUUGGGCGUAAAGAGCGUGUAGGCGGCCAGGUAGGUCGGUUGUGAAAACUGGAGGCUCAACCUUCAGAGGUCGACCGAAACCAUCUGGCUAGAGUCCGGGAGAGGAGAGUGGAAUUCCACGUGUAGCGGUGAAAUGCGUAGAGAUGUGGAGGAACACCAGUGGCGAAGGCGACUCUUUGGCCUGUAACUGACACUGAGGCGCGAAAGCGUGGGGAGCAAACAGG
rnacentral:rRNA from 1 species